rnacentral:rRNA from 1 species
AUUGAGUGCUUGCACUCUUUGGACGUCGACCGGCGCACGGGUGAGUAACGCGUAUCCAACCUUCCCAUUACUGUGGGAUAACCUGCCGAAAGGCAGACUAAUACCGCAUAGUCUUCGAUGACGGCAUCAGAUUUGAAGUAAAGAUUUAUCGGUAAUGGAUGGGGAUGCGUCUGAUUAGCUUGUUGGCGGGGUAACGGCCCACCAAGGCAACGAUCAGUAGGGGUUCUGAGAGGAAGGUCCCCCACAUUGGAACUGAGACACGGUCCAAACACCUACGGGAGGCAGCAGUGAGGAAUAUUGGUCAAUGGACGGAAGUCUGAACCAGCCAAGUAGCGUGCAGGACUACGGCCCUAUGGGUUGUAAACUGCUUUUGUAUGGGGAUAAAGUUAGGGACGUGUCCCUAUUGGCAUGUACCAUACGAAUA